AUACAGAGGGUGCGAGCGUUAAUCGGAAUAACUGGGCGUAAAGGGCACGUAGGCGGUCGUGUAAGAUAGAUGUGAAAGCCCUGGGCUCAACCUGGGAACGGCAUAUGUGACUGCACGACUAGAGUCGAUGAGAGGGUAGUGGAAUUUCUGGUGUAGCGGUGAAAUGCGUAGAGAUCAGAAGGAAGACCGAUGGCGAAGGCAGCUACCUGGCAUCAGACUGACGCUGAGGUGCGAAAGCGUGGGGAGCAAACAGGAUUAGAUACCCCGGUAGUCC
rnacentral:rRNA from 1 species